CUGACACAGCUGGCAGACAUCAGCUAAUUAUACCUCUCCAUUUUACACAGUACUAUGCUAGGAGUGUUGUGUGUGGCAGCAGAAGAGAAGCUGAGAGUGAGGAGCUAGGCUGCAUGUUUGGGAUCAUUGUCUUGCUGAGAUGUCCACCCUCAUUUCAUCUUGAUGCAUGCUUUCAUCCAUCCUUCAAUGAUAUGAAGCAUGCCAGUAUGCUCAAAAGCAGUCUGAUAUCAUGAUGCCCUCACCUCCAAACCUAACUAUUGAAUCCAAUGGCUGCCAUUAGAUGGAACAUUUUUGUGCUGAGCAGGAAGCAGCCAUUGUGAACAUUGUUGUUGCAAACAAUGUCACAAGGCUGGGUGAAAUCAGGGCAGCAGUGAUUGCAGAUCAGGGCAUAUUUAGCAACAUCAGCAACGUGAGCCUAAUUCGCAUUGAUCGCAUCCUAAGAAGCAACCAUAUGGCUAUGAAGCAGCUCUACAGAGUUCUAUUUAAAAGGAAAUCUGAUGCUGUGAAGGAGGCCAGAUGCCAAUAUGCAGAGAAUAAUGGAGUUUGAAGGUGAGGGGGCACAUCAUGGCUUCAUUUAUGUUGAUGAAGCCGAUUUCAAUCUCUGUAAAGUGAUGAGGUGUGGAAGGAACCUUAUUGGAUACAGGGCUGCUUUUACAGUUCCAGGAUAGAGGGGUGCCAACAUAACAAUGUGUGCUACCAUCGCUUAUACCAUAUCUCCACUAUUGGCCCAUGCAACACAGAACGCCUCAUAACAUUCUUGAAUGCACUUCAUGAGAGGCUGAUCCCACCUGGGGAGUGAGAGCUGUUGAGGCCCGGCAUGCAAGUCUUGUGGCAUCUGGGAUAAUAUGGCGUUUCACCACUCUCGCCUCAUUAAUGAGUGGUUUGCAGUACACCCUCAUAUGAUGAUGCAGUUCUCCUGUCAUAAUCCCCAGUUUUGAAUCUCAUAGAGGAGUUCUUCAGUGCUUGGAAGUGGAAGGUUUGUGAUCACCAUCCCUAUGAGCAGACAUUCAGCAACAUCCUUGCUGAAUGUAAUGACUGCUGCUGCCCAGAAAAUGGGUGUGGAGGAAUGUCAAGGUUUGAUAUGGUAUGCAAGAAGAUUUUUUUUUCGCAAUGCAAGAGGAUAUUAAAUGUGAUUGUCAUGGUCUGUGUAAGUCUGAGGCCUGUGUGUUCCUUGUGUCUCCACCACUGAGCGGAGCCCUUAGUUUCCACAGACCGGCAGCACCUGUGAGCAAUUAGGCCAUCGCGUACAACCACUCCUCGCCAUAUUGUAUGCUAAUCCUCGUUAGUAAAGGCCGUCAUAGUAAAAGUAGCUUAACAUAAUUUAUACUUGAAUUAAUUCUAUACCCUCUGCUCACAGUCAAGCCUCCAGAUGUCAUGUAACCAUGUUGCCAUAACUCAGGGGUCGGCUCUGGAGCCGCAUGCAGCUCUUUAGUCUUUAUACUACAGCUCCGUUGUUUGGGACAAUAAAUUGUAAAAGUAUUUAGCUGAAGUGUAUUUUAUU